GCACCUAAUAUGUUGCGGAGAGGCCACCUUAUAGCAGAAGGUACAUUUCACUUACUUUCUUGAAUUGAUAUUUGCAUUCCACGCUAAAAUUGUGGUUUGUUACCGAUUUUUCUUUUCUUUUAGGACUGCAAGUACAUACUUUCUGAACCAUGGGUAGAGGAUGUGCUCCAUUGGUAGACAGCGAUAUGAAUCCAUCAGCUUUCCUUUAUUUCACCACAAAUAGCAGCUAACUUUUGAUAGCCAUCUGCCACUUUUAGGCGCCUCUUUUUGGCUUGCAGUCUACUAUGAAAGGCUGAAGAGAUAAAAAAAACAGAAGAGAAUGCCAUUGCAGUCGACAGGAGUUAGACAUUCACCAUGAGGUGAUGAUGCUUUCCUGUUGUUGUAAGCAUCAAUUAUAUCAUGCAGACAUAGAUCACACAUAGAUGCCUUGUGUAUUGUUUCCGUGGCAUGAUUGACAAGUUGUGAACACCUUCCCUAGCCUUAUUGUUGAUUGGAAUGUUUGUGUUUCAUGAUCAAGAUUAACAGCUUGCGUGGAAGGGCAGUUUCUCUUCUGGUUUACUAUUUGUUUCUUACGGUUCAAUUCCAUUGUACCACAAGUCCAACAACCACCAACUACAUCUUGCCUUGGGAGUUUCAGUUCCAGCUUAAUUAGCAGGUUCGCCAGUUCACCGGCGACUCAAAAAGUCAAAAUUGGACUCGAAGCUUGGCUGUUCUAUCCAAACAACGGUGAUGUCCUGAUGGAGGGUUGAGCGGUUCUGCGUAAUCCACCAUUUGAAAGAAUACAGGCGACCACCUACUCCCCUGUCCACGCCGCCAUCUUUUUCCUCAACUUGUGCUAUGCCGUGCGCUCGCUGUCAGCUGUCGCUGGCGGCCAGCUCCACACCCGCUCCAUGCAUCUUCCUCCUACUUGUUAGUUAGAGUACAUGAUCGCUAGGCACAUCCUCCAAACUCUGUAGCGUGCUAACACAAGGUACCAACUUGGUAGGCUAGUCGUUUAGUUAAUCCUGCUGCUCAUUGUUGCACUAAGGAAGCUUUAGCUAUAGAGGAUGUUUGAAC